GAGACGUAUAAGAGAGGGACCGCUGACUCAUUUUCGCGCCAAAUUAUCUUCAUGUUUUCGCAGCGCCCUCACCGGGAGGCAUAGAAAGACUUCCGGUCGUAUUAGCUGCAGUGUUUUCAUCGAAGACUUUGGGGUAUGUCAGAAAUCACUCUUCUCAACAGCAGACACAGAUUGCAAGCAGAGGAAAUGAAGAAUGCAUAAAUUUUUAUGGGUGAAUUUAUCCUGACCACCAUAAAUCUAUUUAAGUAACAGUACCUCUCUUGAUUGAUUCUACAAGAUUCUGAAGUUGUUUUCCCAAAAGACCUUGACCUGCUUCAUAAGGGUGUUUUAAGUGAGAUCUAAGGAUGAAUAAGACAACAAAUAGUUGUUCAGUAAGCUGUAAAGCUUAAAAUUGUGUUGCUGCAUAAAAUAUAGCCACGCUCAAAAUGGCACUGAAACAAACAUUGACAUGUUGUGUGGUUUUUCAACAAUACUGCAAAUGAAUAAGAAAUAAUAUCAGAAACUUUUAUGUUUUUUCUGAACCAUCUCUCUCCAUGGUAUUUGUAAAAAAAAAAAAAAAGAAUUAAGACCUCCAAGAAUUUAAUUAAUGAAUAUUCUUUCCAAACAUUUUCCCACUCCUUGGACUGUAAAUUCUGAGUAAAGAAAUGUGUGAUGAACAUUUCAAAUUUCUAUGU